AGGAACUCCGGUGCGGGCCCAUGGGCCCAAGUCCGGGGCGGGCCCGCCACUGUGACCGGGGAGCUGCCUCCCACUGAUGGCCACUGGCAGUCGGCGCGAGCCGGCCGCUGGGAAGGCCGGGAGACGGCGCCGGUGCCCGUGCUGUACGAGCGGGGCGCCGAGAGCCGGGAGCCAGGACAUU
rnacentral:ncRNA from 2 species